GGCGAGCCCCUCGGCGGCCGGGCCGGAAAGAAAUACAGAUGCAAAAGCAAGACCUGGAUAAAUGAGACAAGUAUUGUUCCUUCAAGCAGAAUGUCCUGACUUCAAGACAGAUCCCAGACAGGCGAGCAAUGCCCCGCUGCAGCCGCUGGCAAUGGGUGGCCACUCACAAGAGGUGGGAUGGUUCCAUUCACACAUCAAGGCUCGAUCCAAGCCCCGCUGGAGGUUUUUCAUCUCCCCCAAUGAAGUCCAGCUCAAGCACCUGGCCGACACAGAGCUCGGCUGACACGACAGGUGGAGCCCUUCCAAAGUAGGUUUUGUUUCCUGUCAGAAAGCAUUGCUUGCCUUUGCCCGGGAAAUUGUAAAAUGCAAAAAUAAACAUAGAAAUAUACCAUUUCGACACAUCCUCUACAUCAAAGCACACCCAAUGUUUUUAAUUUCGGCUUUUUUUUUUUUUUUUUUUUGAGGUUUUGUUUUUAUAAGUCGCCGAAUUUACUCAGUAGCUCCUGUUUGUGGAAAGAAAUGUUGAAGUGUUAUUAAUUGCACUUAUCAAAUCAAGAAAAACUACAGCCACUGAGUUCUCAUGAAGGAAAAUGCUGUGAGCUCUGUGUGCACGCGUGCAGACACACACGGACGUCUGCAGGGGCAAGGUCACCGACCGCUGAGCCGCGGGCUGUGUGCAGAAGAGUGAAAACAACCCACAGACAAAUGUGCCAUUGUAAAUCUUGUCUCUUAUAGAAUACACGCCAUCAUCCCUUCGGCAAGCAGGAGGACGGGGUUCCCACGUUAGCAGCAGCAGCAGUAGGGAUUCCUAGAAAGACGCAGUGCCUUCGGGUGCCCAACCCAUCCCCGCGCCCUGCUGGGAUGCAUGGCCAUUGCGGUGUGCAGGGAGAGUGAUCCCAAAACACAUCCAGCGCCACACCAACCUGCGAAUGGCGGUGGCACAUCUUCAAACCUCCCCGAAACCCAAGGCGGAAUUUCACCCUUUCCCACUUGUAUAGCUGCAAACAAACGCCGUGCUUGGCCUGAACGCGUCAGCGCGUGGGUUGUAGGGCCACACAGAGCCCCCGUUUCGUUGUGCAGCAGCAGCAGCCUGCUGCACCCCACAGCAUAUCUGCAUUUUCCUAUGGCAGGAAGGUGCAGCAGUGGGGCCACUGUAGCAAAAUGCCUCCACACCCUGCUCCAUCCACAGCCAAAUACGAAACACCAAUCCAAGAGUUUUCUUCAAGCUAUAAAAAUAAAGCAAAGUUGUUCCCAGGGAACAGAGAAAAAGUCAAUUCCACAGUCCCUGCACAGUUAUAAGCGCUCUCCAUAAGACUGAAUGCUUUUUUCUGCCUCGGAACAGCCCUCUCUGAUCCAGCAGAGCAAAGUUUGUUGAUAUUCGGGGUUGCAAACCCAUGUGUUUACUCAGGCUUUUGUCUGUCAGCAGAGUUUGAAGAGGUCGCUUUGAGAGAUCAAUAUUUUUUCCUGGGGGUUUCUUCAGAGCUACCACAAUUUGUUAUUGCGUCUGUUUAGAGGCUUUAAUUUGUGGUUUUCAAGAUUGCAUAACUGAGCAGAGAGGUGGUGAGAGGCCCACAUGAAGAGUUCAAAAUAAAUUUGACAAUAUAGUAAAUAUCUGCUCAGUAAUUUUCCCUGGUCUGAAUGCCACAGAAUGCCAACAGAGCCAUUAGUCAGGCUGGGUAUGAAGGUGCCUUUAUGGGAUCAGGGCACAUGUUUCCAUCCAGAUGGUACAGAACUGGAUUCACCUCACACGUCACUGACACCAACAGAGGACGUCCCUCUGGGGGCUCCCACCCGGGUGCCCGUUUAUAGGUUGCUCUAAAAGGCGUUGCUUUGAACCAGAUAUGGAAAAAUUAAAAUGAGACUUUAAUUUUGCCCUUUGCUCAGAGUUCUCAUAGUAAUUUACAUCAAAAUGAACCGAACCGCUCGCCUCCCAUAAGGCGGCCCAGGGGUUGAUUGUAUAUCAGUCCUGCAAACAUCAGCUGGGAGGUGUGGGGAUGCACACGGGGAUGCGUUCACUGCAGAUGGGAACUGUGGCCCCACAGGUCAUUGGGGGGCUGCAGGUGGAAGCCCAGCACUGACACCAUACAGAAAUGGGGUUCUCAGCACGGACGCUGCAUGGCAUCCUCCAGCCAAGCAUCCCCGGCUCCGGGAGGAAGCACCUGUAAGCGUGGUCUCAGGGCACUGUGUGAAUGGGUGACGAGUUGGGGUUGGACUUGAUGAUCUUAGCAGUGUUUUCCAACCUUAAUGAUUCUAUGAUUCUACGACUGCAGGAGCACAUGUACAUAGCAGAGGGCAGUGUUCAGCGCUUCGGACAGCUCUCACAGAUAGUUCUGAGGAAGGUGGUGAAGAAGUGAUGUGCACGCUGCGGACUGGGAGCCCUGUGUCAGCAGAGCCGCAGGACCGGCAGGCUUUGCCUGGAACUGCGUCUAGAUCUGAGCCGGGACCCCCGGGGGGACAGCCGGGCAGGCGCGAGGCGAACAGCCCCGGGACGGGAUGGGACGGGACGGG
ensembl:lncRNA